GCUAAGAUCAAGUGUAGUAUCUGUUUUUAUCAGUUAAUAUCUGAUAUGUGGGCCAUGUGCCCACAAUGAUAUUAAAUUUAUUUUUUAUGGGGAAGGGUCCACCACACUAGCUUGCUAGUGGGGCCUUUCGUGUGUACAAACUAAACAAUUUUGGAUUUGUUUGGACUCAGCUGAAAGCAAUUUCUUGUUGCUAGCUGCAUCAUCAAGCAGGUUAUCCAUUAAAAAAAUCCAAGCAGAAGAUUUAAUAGGAUGGUUUGCCUAUGAAUGUGUGAGAUUGCUUUCCUUCUAAACAGAACCUAUCUAUCAAGUUUUAUGUGCUGGUAGAGUUGACCUUCUGAAUAUUUGUGCGUCAUCAAGCAGAAGACAAGGAUGGUUCAACGAUUGUCUUACUUCUGAGUAGAACCUGUCUCUCGUUUUCUAACAGAAGGAACCUAUCUAUCAAUAUUUAAGUGCUGCUAUAGUUGAUCUUCUGAAUAUUUGCAAGUGAUGGCUGUCCGUACUAUUUAUUUCAACAGAAUAGCACUGCAUCCCUAUGUUUUUGACACCCCCAA